GUGCCCUAGGCACGAUCGUGGAAGAAGAGGGAGAGUGCGAAGGGGAGGCGGCGGCGGCGCUAGGUCGAUCGCUGGAGGGAGCCGACUCGCCGGAGGAGUUGAGCGUCGGGAAGGCGGCAGAUCUCGUGAGCCGGCCGGUCAAGAAGGAGGAUCCCCAUCAACGCACGAAGAGGCCUUGGAUCUGUGGGUUUACUCACGGAUUUCUCCACCAAACCCUCGCCGGAAGGGCCGCCGGAGCAUCCCGCCGGACCGAGAGGAAGAGUCGGCGGUGCCAGGAGAUUUUGAUCAGGGAACUCAGCACCCCAGCUCGUAGUUGUGAUCCGGAUCUGUAAUUGUGACAGUCUACAAUCUCUAGGCACUGGAUUCGUAGAAUCUGUCGGAUGGG